rnacentral:rRNA from 1 species
CCUACGGGAGGCAGCAGUGGGGAAUAUUGCGCAAUGGGCGAAAGCCUGACGCAGCGACGCCGCGUGAGGGAUGAAGGUCUUCGGAUCGUAAACCUCUGUCAGCAGGGAAGAACGGUCACUGUGCUAAUCAGCAGUGAAUUGACGGUACCUGCAAAGGAAGUACCGGCUAACUCCGUGCCAGCAGCCGCGGUAAUACGGGGGGUGCGAGCGUUAAUCGGUAUUACUGGGCGUAAAGCGCUCGUAGGCGGUAUGUCAAGUCAAGGGUGAAAUCCCCGCGCUCAACGUGGGAACUGCCUUUGAAACUGGCAAACUGGAGUGUGUGAGAGGAUAGUGGAAUUCCAGGUGUAGGAGUGAAAGCCGUAGAUAUCUGGAGGAACAUCAGUGGCGAAGGCGACUAUCUGGCACAUAACUGACGCUGAGGAGCGAAAGCGUGGGUAGCAAACAGGAUUAGAUACCCUGGUAGUC